GACAGAGGUGCCGAGCGUUAGGCGGAAUCACUGGGCUUAAAGCGUGUGUAGGCGGGCCGUUAAGUACCUUGUGAAAUCCCCCGGCUCAACCGGGGAAUGGCUGGGUAUACUGGCGGUCUUGAGCGAUCUAGGGGCAGAUGGAACAAGUGGUGGAGCGGUGAAAUGCGUAGAUAUCACUUGGAACGCCAACGGCGAAAGCACUCUGCUGGGCCGACACUGACACUGAGAGACGAAAGCUAGGGGAGCGAAUGGG
rnacentral:rRNA from 1 species